rnacentral:rRNA from 1 species
AGUGAACGCUGGCGGUAGGCCUAACACAUGCAAGUCGAACGGCAGCACAGUAAUAGCUUGCUCUUACGGGUGGCGAGUGGCGGACGGGUGAGGAAUACAUCGGAGUCUACUUUUUCGUGGGGGAUAACGUAGGGAAACUUACGCUAAUACCGCAUACGACCUACGGGUGAAAGCAGGGGAUCUUCGGACCUUGCGCGAGUGAAUGAGCCGAUGUCGGAUUAGCUAGUUGGCGGGGUAAAGGCCCACCAAGGCGACGAUCCGUAGCUGGUCUGAGAGGAUGAUCAGCCACACUGGAACUGAGACACGGUCCAGACUCCUACGGGAGGCAGCAGUGGGGAAUAUUGGACAAUGGGCGCAAGCCUGAUCCAGCCAUACCGCGUGGGUGAAGAAGGCCUUCGGGUUGUAAAGCACUUUUGUUGGGAAAGAAAAGCAGCAGGUUAAUACCCCGCUGUUCUGACGGUACCCACAGAAUAAGCACCGGCUAACUUCGUG